UCAAGCAAUCCAAUACUUGUAUAAAGCUUUCUCUUGUUUAACACAAAGUAUUCUUGCAAGCUUCUCUUCUUAGCUUCUCUUAGCUUUGUUGUGGUAAUAUUUCGGGAAAAGGCUGACUUAGCACACCGCAGGGGCGAAUUGUGACUAAGGCCGCACGGAAGAUAGCUAGGGAGUUAUCCGGUCCGUGACAGUUGGUAUCAGAGCAACGCUGGGAAAAGGCUGACUUAGCACACCGCAGGGGCGAAUUGUGACUAAGGCCGCACGGAAGAUAGCUAGGGAGUUAUCCGGUCCGUGACA
rnacentral:lncRNA from 1 species